GAUGAAGAACGUAGCGAAAUGCGAUAAGUAAUGUGAAUUGCAGAAUUCAGUGAAUCAUCGAAUCUUUGAACGCACAUUGCGCCCGCCAGUAUUCUGGCGGGCAUGCCUGUUCGAGCGUCAUUACAACCCUCAGGCCCCCGGGCCUGGCGUUGGGGAUCGGCGGAGCCCCCCGUGGGCACACGCCGUCCCCCAAAUGCAGUGGCGGUCCCGCCGCAGCUUCCAUCGCGUAGUAGCUAACACCUCGCGACUGGAGAGCGGCGCGGCCACGCCGUAAAACACCCAACUUCUGAACGUUGACCUCGAAUCAGGUAGGACUACCCGCUGAACUUAAGCAUAUCAAUAAGCGGAGGA
rnacentral:misc_RNA from 1 species